UUUGUCAGACCAAAAUGUCAUAAAAUAUUUACUUUAGUACCUAAUAGAUAAUUCAGUAAUUCGGUAAUGAAUUACAAAUAGCUAUAUGCCGAAAAACGGUCUUAUAUAAACCAAUAGCAUGAUGGAUAGUGAACCUAAAAAAAAUAUUAGAAGAAUUGCCAGGCAAGAAUCUUCCUCUUUAGUUUCGCGUUGACUAUUUAAGGGAUCUAAAACAAGAUGCAAAGAUACAAUAGAAUCUCCAGAACGUCGAUUUCCAUUGAUUGCGAAAGAUUCAGAAUGGGUAGAUAUUUCUGGAACUCAAGCGGCAUCUUCAAGAGGACACGCUGGACAAGCAGGAGAGCACGUUCAACAAUCAGCGCCUGAAGAAGGUGAAGUUAAGCGUGUGAUGACAAGUAUGUUUCCAAAUUUAUUAGACGAAGAUCCGGAAACAUUAGACAGCAUUAUCAACAGCACAAUAUCCACAACCGAUGUGACUAGACAUCUAGUGGGCCACAAAGCUGACUUUACAUUUCUAAAGAAAGUAGAGCGAUUGAUACCUCCUGAUAAGAAAUGGUUAGAGAGUGUGCAAGAAAACAGUAAUUCCCUUAGUUCAAUUGACACAAGGGGACAUGAGGACUAUCAGUCGUGCAGUACAACAGAUGAUUCAUUGACAUGCAGCAAUAUUCAUUAUUCAAGUACCAAAGGGUUUAAAAUGGAAUCAAAUCAUAAAGAUAGUAUAGAAGAUUACAACAAUGAACAAUCUACUUUGCGUUAGAAUAGUUCCGAUCAGUCAACAUUAUAAAGUAUUAUAUUACUAAUAAACUAUUUAUAAUAUAAAUUCGUAUUUCUCUUUUGUUAAGUGAUUAAAACAAAGUAAGUCUUCGUAAGUCGCAUCACUUAUUAUGUUUGGUAUAAUAAGAAAAAAAAUCUGUUUUGAUUCUGGGCACCGGUCAUUACUAUAAUCACUGGUAAAUUCGUUAACACCGAUCGAAUGGACACACUAAGCUUGGUGGUCUACUGAAACGUGACAUUGGCGAAUUGUGGUGCCCCAUCCACUGAAGCCACUAGAAAGAAUAGAAUAGAAGUUUAUUACAAAUCACAUAAAUUAAUAAUGGUUUGGUGUGGCAACACAGGGCCGCCAAACAUGAAUUCCGGCCUAUGGACUUGCAUCCCGUGCCACUAAAUAAAUUAAAAAAAAAAGAUGAAUUCCAUAUUUCUAAAUGAAAAGGGAUAAAUAAAAAACAACAACUUAUGCACUUCUGGUUUCUAUUCUCAUCAUAGAUUUAAUUGUUCUUAAUCA